rnacentral:lncRNA from 1 species
AGGGUUUCGACCGUGUUUUCCGGCUGUCUGGCCGGGAUUUUGGCUCCGAUUUGGCCACAGGGGAAAUCAACAUGGAAAAACGAGUCGGGGGUAUGAAAUUUACCUCGAUCAGCGGUCGAAAAUCUCCCCGGUGCGGCGGCGGGUGGCGGCGGCCGGCAUCUCCGGCGUCUGGUUCGUCUUCUCCGGCGAGGGCAAGCGGCUAGGGUUUUUGUGGUCAGGUGUGGGGGUUCUAUUUAUACCCUUUUGCCUUUUGAUCUCAGCCGUCCAUUUUGAUUUAAUCUGGGUCGUCCGUUUUUGAUUUAAUUUGGGUCGUCCGUUUUUGAUUGAAUCUGGGCCGUCCGUGCG